UACAGAGGUCUCAAGCGUUGUUCGGAUUUAUUGGGCGUAAAGGGCGCGUAGGCGGCGGGGUAAGUCGGGUGUGAAAUCUCAGGGCUCAACCCUGAAACUGCACUUGAUACUGCUCUGCUUGAGGACUGGAGAGGAGACUGGAAUUCACAGUGUAGCAGUGAAAUGCGUAGAUAUCGUGAGGAAGACCAGUGGCGAAGGCGGGUCUCUGGACAGUUCCUGACGCUGAGGCGCGAAGGCCAGGGGAGCAAACGGG
rnacentral:rRNA from 1 species